rnacentral:rRNA from 1 species
GAAUUCAUCUCCGGGGGUAGAGCACUGUUUCGGCAAGGGGGUCAUCCCGACUUACCAACCCGAUGCAAACUGCGAAUACCGGAGAAUGUUAUCACGGGAGACACACGGCGGGUGCUAACGUCCGUCGUGAAGAGGGAAACAACCCAGACCGCCAGCUAAGGUCCCAAAGUCAUGGUUAAGUGGGAAACGAUGUGGGAAGGCCCAGACAGCCAGGAUGUUGGCUUAGAAGCAGCCAUCAUUUAAAGAAAGCGUAAUAGCUCACUGGUCGAGUCGGCCUGCGCGGAAGAUGUAACGGGGCUAAACCAUGCACCGAAGCUGCGGCAGCGACGCUGAUGCGUUGUUGGGUAGGGGAGCGUUCUGUAAGCCUGUGAAGGUGUGCUGUGAGGCAUGCUGGAGGUAUCAGAAGUGCGAAUGCUGACAUAAGUAACGAUAAAGCGGGUGAAAAGCCCGCUCGCCGGAAGACCAAGGGUUCCUGUCCAACGUUAAUCGGGGCAGGGUGAGUCGACCCCUAAGGCGAGGCCGAAAGGCGUAGUCGAUGGGAAACAGGUUAAUAUUCCUGUACUUGGUGUUACUGCGAAGGGGGGACGGAGAAGGCUAUGUUGGCCGGGCGACGGUUGUCCCGGUUUAAGCGUGUAGGCUGGUUUUCCAGGCAAAUCCGGAAAACUAAGGCUGAGGCGUGAUGACGAGGCACUACGGUGCUGAAGCAACAAAUGCCCUGCUUCCAGGAAAAGCCUCUAAGCAUCAGGUAACAUCAAAUCGUACCCCAAACCGACACAGGUGGUCAGGUAGAGAAUACCAAGGCGCUUGAGAGAACUCGGGUGAAGGAACUAGGCAAAAUGGUGCCGUAACUUCGGGAGAAGGCACGCUGAUAUGUAGGUGAAGUCCCUCGCGGAUGGAGCUGAAAUCAGUCGAAGAUACCAGCUGGCUGCAACUGUUUAUUAAAAACACAGCACUGUGCAAACACGAAAGUGGACGUAUACGGUGUGACGCCUGCCCGGUGCCGGAAGGUUAAUUGAUGGGGUCAGCGCAAGCGAAGCUCUUGAUCGAAGCCCCGGUAAACGGCGGCCGUAACUAUAACGGUCCUAAGGUAGCGAAAUUCCUUGUCGGGUAAGUUCCGACCUGCACGAAUGGCGUAAUGAUGGCCAGGCUGUCUCCACCCGAGACUCAGUGAAAUUGAACUCGCUGUGAAGAUGCAGUGUACCCGCGGCAAGACGGAAAGACCCCGUGAACCUUUACUAUAGCUUGACACUGAACAUUGAGCCUUGAUGUGUAGGAUAGGUGGGAGGCUUUGAAGUGUGGACGCCAGUCUGCAUGGAGCCGACCUUGAAAUACCACCCUUUAAUGUUUGAUGUUCUAACGUUGACCCGUAAUCCGGGUUGCGGACAGUGUCUGGUGGGUAGUUUGACUGGGGCGGUCUCCUCCUAAAGAGUAACGGAGGAGCACGAAGGUUGGCUAAUCCUGGUCGGACAUCAGGAGGUUAGUGCAAUGGCAUAAGCCAGCUUGACUGCGAGCGUGACGGCGCGAGCAGGUGCGAAAGCAGGUCAUAGUGAUCCGGUGGUUCUGAAUGGAAGGGCCAUCGCUCAACGGAUAAAAGGUACUCCGGGGAUAACAGGCUGAUACCGCCCAAGAGUUCAUAUCGACGGCGGUGUUUGGCACCUCGAUGUCGGCUCAUCACAUCCUGGGGCUGAAGUAGGUCCCAAGGGUAUGGCUGUUCGCCAUUUAAAGUGGUACGCGAGCUGGGUUUAGAACGUCGUGAGACAGUUCGGUCCCUAUCUGCCGUGGGCGCUGGAGAACUGAGGGGGGCUGCUCCUAGUACGAGAGGACCGGAGUGGACGCAUCACUGGUGUUCGGGUUGUCAUGCCAAUGGCACUGCCCGGUAGCUAAAUGCGGAAGAGAUAAGUGCUGAAAGCAUCUAAGCACGAAACUUGCCCCGAGAUGAGUUCUCCCUGACUCCUUGAGAGUCCUGAAGGAACGUUGAAG